UUUUCAACAAGAAAAACCUCCAACGAAAAAUAGUUUUAUUAGAGGAAAGCUUGUAAAGAUGUGUACAAAACAGACUUUCUUCCAAGGUGUUUUGUCGUUAAAAAUUAGAUAAACACAAUAUUAAUAUUUGAAAUAAACGAAAUGAAAAGGGAAACUUAACAGUUUUGACACCACCCUCUUGUCAACUAAGAUAACCUCCAUCAAAAACUGGAAUUUUGGAGGAAAUCUUGGGAAGAUGUAUACAAGAGAGACCUUCUUCCAAGGUGUUCUAGUGUCAAAAAAGGAUCUAAUUUCAAACGUAUCAAUACAUAAGGUAACUGAAAUUAAAUUCAACGCAUGAACACUAUGUGGAUACAUGACGUAUAAAAUUAAAGACAACAAGACAUACCAGUUUUCAGACCACACUCUUGUCAACAAGAAAAACCUCCAACGAAAACUAGUUUUAUUAGAGGAAUGCUUGUAAAGAUGUGUACAAACAGACUUUCUUCCAAGGUGUUUUGUUGUUAAAAAGUUAGAUUAACGCAAUAAAUAUUUGAAAUA